ACUACAGCAAUAAAAAAAAGACCCUGGACACCUACAGGUUUCCUUAACCCCCACGUAUCCCUACAGAUAGAGAUGAGAAAACUGAACUAGGGUAGAAUUUAACCCAGCUCAGGUUAAGAUUGUGUAUUUAUGCAGCCCUCUCUUCCGCUCACAACCUGCACCAAAACUAUUCCCAAAAAAACAGAGCACGGUAGGGUUGGGAGAGAUCGAGAGAAAUCAGAGAGUUGGAAGUGACCUUGCUGCUAAGGUACUAUUGACCUCGAGGAUUGGAAGGAAGAACUCCCCUGAAUUAACCAGGCAAGCUGUGCAUAUCAGUAGCUUGUUGAAUGUUGAACUUGAAAACAUAAUGAUAUAUCAUCUGAUGAAUGGAUGCUAAUCAUCAUAAAUUGGGAAACGAACAUGGCAGUACUUACCCUGGGACAGCCGGUUCUUGAAAUUGCGAUAUGCGGUAAGUCCGGUAUCAGGGUGAGAUGGGCAAGCCUCGCUCAAGUAAGGAAUCUGGAGUUGGUUUCUCAGAGAUGGGGUACUACCAAAUUGGUGGGAUUAUGGCGGUUAAAUAAAUAAUUCUCUGCAGAGGUCCACUAAAAGCUUUCCUCAUUGAAUAACUUUCUAGAUAUCUGAUAAUGUUUAUACUCCUAUGGUAAGCAGGGACUCUUCGUAAAAAACUAAAUUUACUUGCCGAGUAUGAAACAUACUCAUUGCUUGUUUGCUUGACUGAUGUGCACAGAACUGAAUGAAGGAGGAGAUUUUGCUGGGAUGGGGAGUGACGACCAGGAGUAAUUGUAGCAGUAGUUUAGUUUAUUUCACAAUAAUCUUUUCACGCAGUACACACCAAUGUAAUUUUGAAUGCUUGUAAACAUCAAUAAAGUAUGAAUAUUCUUCA